rnacentral:rRNA from 1 species
AGUGAACGCUGGCGGUAGGCCUAACAAAUGCAAGUCGAACGGCAGCACAGUAAGAGCUUGCUCUUACGGGUGGCGAGUGGCGGACGGGUGAGGAAUACAUCGGAAUCUACUUUUUCGUGGGGGAUAACGUAGGGAAACUUACGCUAAUACCGCAUACGACCUACGGGUGAAAGCAGGGGAUCUUCGGACCUUGCGCGAUUGAAUGAGCCGAUGUCGGAUUAGCUAGUUGGCGGGGUAAAGGCCCACCAAGGCGACGAUCCGUAGCUGGUCUGAGAGGAUGAUCAGCCACACUGGAACUGAGACACGGUCCAGACUCCUACGGGAGGCAGCAGUGGGGAAUAUUGGACAAUGGGCGCAAGCCUGAUCCAGCCAUACCGCGUGAGUGAAGAAGGCCUUCGGGUUGUAAAGCCCUUUUGUUGGGAAAGAAAAGCAGCAGGUUAAUACCCCGCUGUUCUGACGGUACCCAAAGAAUAAGCACCGGCUAACUUCGUG